CGGACCAAGAUGGAGAAGCAGGGCACGUGCAAUACUAAUUCACGAAUUACGAGAGAAUUAUAUUUUUCUCUCUUAGUUUUACUGACUUAGUAUUUCAUGUGCCCCUCUUCCCCAUCAUGAUCAC